UGAUAGAUAGCUUAAUUUUAAAGCAAAACGUUGAAGGUGUUUUUAUGGAUACUCUCCUCUGUCUA
rnacentral:tRNA from 1 species